UCUUGACUGACGCCAAUGCGCCAUGUUUGUGUUUUUCGGAUUUGGCAGAAAAAGCACGUCUACGAUAAUUCUCUGAAAUGUUUUUGUAAAAACACUAAAUACGUAGUUAUUUCAUAUUCUUCUUCAAGAUUAGUUUACGUUUAAAAGUGUAAAAACAUAUUUUAACCCAGAAAUACAUAGCACCAACCACGACUUUGAAAACUUGAAACUAGUUUGGAAUAUUAUAUUUUUCGAAGAAGAUGCCUACUAUACGGAGGUUCUGCUGCGAUGACGAGACUGGCGAAAUUAUGACUUACAUGGUAAACGAUGAAACUGGUGAGCCUUUCGUAGAGAAUGACUCUCCUGUGCACAGUGGAUCGAGAAGAAUACAGCAAAGAGCAGAGACAGUCAAGAAUGCUAAGUUUCCGAAAGGGUAUAUUACUAAAACAAAGAAGUUUCAGUCUUUGAAAGAGCGCAUCAUUGCUGGUUCCAACAUAUUCAGCCACAGACUUCUCCUACUACCGACAUUGACCGUAUUUCCUGCAUAUGUGUGCACUUUUAUUGUUAUGUUAGAAGUAUAUCUUCAUUUGUGUUGUCAUAAACACAACAAACAUUUGAAAGAUCCGAAUUUGUACUAUCGCAGCCCUUUUCACAUGAUAACCAGCACCUUUUGUGGUGUGUGUCGAGACUGUGACACUGCUUCGCGGAUCGGCCAGCUUCAAGACCAGAGACGCAGUCGAUAUGAUUACUUUAGGAGCAUUGCCAUUUAAAUAUGCAUGAAAUAUUACUACAAAAGACAAGAUUUAAUUAGUGGUUGCGGUAAUAUAAAUGAAUAGCAAAAUCAUUUUCAGAUCAAACGAUUCUAAACCAUUAUUGUAAUGUAAAAUUUGAAAGAUUUGACAAAAGAAGUUUACAUGUUAAACUUCCUUAACAGUUGAAAGUAGAAACAUUUGCAACAAAACAAUUAUUUAAAAGCAGCCUACCUAUACAGUAUAGUCCAUUUAAAUGAUAAGUCUGUUUUAGUCUUCCAUAACAUAUAUUUUGUCCUAUUGAAUUAAAUUAAUGAUAUUUUUGUGCCUGUAUCUUAUAGUACAUAGUUUAGUAAAAAAGUUUGGCUGUGAUGUCAUAAAUUUUUUAAAACUUGCUAAUAUCAAUGUUAACUAUGUAGAUUUAGCAAGGUGCUGGGUUAAUAAAAUCUCUCGGUAUUCUAGGUAACGACAAUGUAGCAUUUGUAUAUGUAUGGAGUUUAAUGUAGUAACGAGAAACUAUAGUAGUAGAUAGGUUAGUACAUAAAGUAUUAAGAUACCUAUUUAGCUUGUAACUUGAAACUGCAAGUGCGAAUUCAUAACAUUCGAUUAAUGUUACUAUGUCUCCUCAAAAUGUGAAAUUCCCCUAGGUAGCUAAUAAAUAUUAAGCUCAUUAAAAUCAUUAUAAUUGUUGAAAUUCUGAUAAUUUAAUAUUGUGAUUCUAGAAAGUACAUGACAUAUUAUUAAAACGGUGUUGGUGUUUAAAACUUUUAAUGAUCUGGUAUUGUUAGGAUAUUUUUGUCAUUUAUUGAUAUUAUUAAGUGUAUUUUACUGCUAAUAAAGGUUUUAUUGAUAAUAAA